rnacentral:rRNA from 1 species
UAGUGGCGGACGGAUGAAGUAACGCGUAGGAACCUAUCUGGAGGUGGGGGAUAACAUCGGGAAACUGGUGCUAAUACCGCAUGAUGCCUGAGGGCCAAAGGAGAGAUCCGCCAUUGGAGGGGCCUGCGUUCGAUUAGCUAGUUGGUUGGGUAAAGGCUGACCAAGGCGAUGAUCGAUAGCUGGUUUGAGAGGAUGAUCAGCCACACUGGGACUGAGACACGGCCCAGACUCCUACGGGAGGCAGCAGUGGGGAAUAUUGGACAAUGGGGGCAACCCUGAUCCAGCAAUGCCGCGUGUGUGAAGAAGGUCUUCGGAUUGUAAAGCACUUUCACUAGGGAAGAUGAUGACGGUACCUAGAGAAGAAGCCCCGGCUAACUUCGUGCCAGCAGCCGCGGUAAUACGAAGGGGGCUAGCGUUGCUCGGAAUGACUGGGCGUAAAGGGCGCGUAGGCUGUUUGUACAGUCAGAUGUGAAAUCCCCGGGCUUAACCUGGGAACUGCAUUUGAUACGUGCAGACUAGAGUCCGAGAGAGGGUUGUGGAAUUCCCAGUGUAGAGGUGAAAUUCGUA